rnacentral:lncRNA from 1 species
AUCAUACUUUUGAUCAUUGAUGUGUUGCAAGAACAGUUCGUGGUGCAACUCAACGUAUUUUAAUAAAUAAAAAUCAUAACUGAAGCACUAAAAAAACAUAUGACACAUUACUACUUUUUAUUAUUGGAGGAUUUGAGUGAUUAAACUAAUGCAGAUAUAAAAAGAUACUUUCCUAUUCAUAUAUCUGUAUCAUAUUUUGGUUCCGUAUCAAUACGGAGGUGCACUUUCGAUACGAAACUAUACGGGUCUAAAGAUGAAUAGUGGAUAUUUCAUCUUUAUUUAAGUUUUAGUAUUUUUUAAUUAAAAAUUUACUUACUAACAACCUCCAGACUGUUACUGAAACAUAUAUAAUGUGAUUAAAGUAUAUAUUACUUAAAAGAGAGAAUUACAUUGCUGAAGGAUUGGGAAUAUUAGAAGUAGAUGGUCUUAUACUUAGAAAUGAAAAAGUUAUCAAUUUUUUAGGUUCAGAUAUACUUUUAGUUUAGAUAAUACCAUAUUUCUUGUAAUACACUAUAUUAUGAUAUUUAUAAAAAUAAUUUUAUUAUAUGUAAUAAUGAACAAAAAUAUUAUGUUGUCAUUUUAAACAUCAUGAUUUAUAAAUGUCUUAAGUGCAUUUAAAUGAACAAUGAGUGAGAAUCAACAUAAUUGAUGUACUAACCUUUUUAUUAUUUAGUCAAUCAAUACUUAUCACAUAUUAUUAUUUUUUUACAUUUCAACUAUUUUCUCAUAAUUACUUCUUAUGAAUAACAUUUGGUAAUUAUUAGUAAUUAAUUUAUUUUUCUGGAAAUUAUAGAUCUUCAUAGGUAUAUUAUUCUAAUAUGGUGUCAUGUAAUUACGUUGUUUAGAAGAAGAUCCCGACAGAAAUUGAGAAUUGUAAUGAAAUUCAGAUAUUCCAAACUAAAAUAUUUUUAUGGAACUCCUUAGUUUUUAAAAAAGAAGUAUACGAUAAUUCAGUAGAAGGUCUUUGGUUCAAUUGAUGUAUUCCUGAGCAUAGAGACAAUGAUUGACGAAUUCCCGUACCUUGAUGUGAAGGGUAUCUAUACAAUGAAGGAUGUUUCCGUCAUAGGAUGUGAGAUGAACCGAGUCAUACACAUGGAGGCGACAUCGUGAAAUUAAAGAAAGGAUCAGAAUUUGUGUGUUUUGUCGUUAAGAUCCAUCCAAAUCAAUCAUUCUGAAUAACUUAAUACUUUACACACAGUUCAAGCUUAAUAUUUGAAUAUUAAGUAGUUAUAGUAUGAUUAGCUAUCAUAAAAAGUCAGCAUUAUUAUAACAUAUCCUUAUUAUUAACUCAACCUUAAACAGUUUGCAUUCCCCUCGAACAGUAUCACCAUAUAUUUUUCCUUAUUUUUUUCAGGAUUCCAAUCUAUAAGCAUAUCUAUUAUUGGAAUAACGCAAUAAAUUAACAUCAUCAUGUAAGCCAUUCUUCAAGAUCAAUUUUGGUCUUUUUUCUCUUCAUGUAUUCAACAUCCCACAAAAUCACGUCAUGCACAAAGUUGCGAGUCGUUAAAGAAGUAAGGAAAACAUCGUCUUAAGUUUAUGUGUAAAAACGAUAAGAUGGUUGUAUCAGACAAAAAUUGAGAUCUUCAUUAAUGAAAUUAAAGAUUAUAAAAUAAAAAUAUGGGUAAUGUUAAACAAAUCAACCCCACAAAUAAAGGAAGGAUACAUAAAAUAUCGAAUUUUCAGGAAUUUUUUUUUGUAGUCCUAAUGAUAAAUAGAAAUGAAAAAGAACUACCUACCAGAACAGGAAGAUUUGCUAAGGUGGGGGAGAGAAAUGAGAUUAUGGAGGAGGAGGAUGAAGAGUAUGAAUUUGUUGAAUAAAGAAAACAAGCUCAUCAAACUGAUGAUCUAGAUCAUUAACCUAACAUUAGUUAUAUUUAAGUCAAUGCAAACAUGAUUUCAUCACGAGCUUGUAACCGAGACCAAGUCCAUGUACAGGCAUAUCAACCCAUAACUAUAGUUGAUAAUAUUGUAGAGAAAAACGCGUGCAAGGAGAAGGGGAAAAAAAUACAUAUGGUAUCAUUGUUUAAAUACUGAUGUGAUUAUCAUC